AUUAAGCUAAGUUAGAUUUAAAUCUCCUUAAAACGAAUCCCACUAAAAUCAUCAUAAGAGAAGUAAGUAAAAGCAUAGAAG
rnacentral:antisense_RNA from 1 species